rnacentral:rRNA from 1 species
GUGUCAGCCGCCGCGGUAAUACAUAGGGUGCAAGCGUUGUCCGGAAUUAUUGGGCGUAAAGAGCUCGUAGGUGGUUCGUCACGUCGGAUGUGAAACUCUGGGGCUUAACCCCAGACCUGCAUUCGAUACGGGCGAGCUUGAGUAUGGUAGGGGAGUCUGGAAUUCCUGGUGUAGCGGUGGAAUGCGCAGAUAUCAGGAGGAACACCAAUGGCGAAGGCAGGACUCUGGGCCAUUACUGACACUGAGGAGCGAAAGCGUGGGGAGCGAACAGGAUUAGAUACCCUGGUAGUCCACGCCGUAAACGGUGGGCACUAGUUGUGGGGACCUUCCACGGUCUCUGCGACGCAGCUAACGCAUUAAGUGCCCCGCCUGGGGAGUACGAUCGCAAGAUUAAAACUCAAAUGAAUUGACGGGG